rnacentral:snoRNA from 7 species
ACCUGCAUUUAGAAGCCGACCAUGGGCUGCGUGUGCUCUGGCCAUACAUGAUGCAGGGAGAGGAGUUGCUGAAGGCCGUUUCCCGUGUUUGAAGGGUCCACUCCUCCCUCUCAAAUGCUGGCGCUUUCACACA